rnacentral:tRNA from 1 species
ACCUGGGUGGCUGAGUCAGUGAGGCAUCUGACUUCAGCUCAGGUCAUGAUCUCACAGUUUGUGGGUUCAAGCCCCACAUCCGGCU